UGGCUUGAUUAAUCAAGCCUGCUAUAUCUUAAAGUGAUAUCCACGUCAACUGCCUCAGUGGGUCAGUCCCCUGUACCUAUGGAAUAUGUAACUCUGUGGAGAAACAGUCUCUUCACUCAAA